GAUGAACGCUGGCGGCGUGCCUAAUACAUGCAAGUCGAGCGAACGGACGAGAAGCUUGCUUCUCUGAUGUUAGCGGCGGACGGGUGAGUAACACGUGGAUAACCUACCUAUAAGACUGGGAUAACUUCGGGAAACCGGAGCUAAUACCGGAUAAUAUUUUGAACCGCAUGGUUCAAAAGUGAAAGACGGUCUUGCUGUCACUUAUAGAUGGAUCCGCGCUGCAUUAGCUAGUUGGUAAGGUAACGGCUUACCAAGGCAACGAUGCAUAGCCGACCUGAGAGGGUGAUCGGCCACACUGGAACUGAGACACGGUCCAGACUCCUACGGGAGGCAGCAGUAGGGAAUCUUCCGCAAUGGGCGAAAGCCUGACGGAGCAACGCCGCGUGAGUGAUGAAGGUCUUCGGAUCGUAAAACUCUGUUAUUAGGGAAGAACAUAUGUGUAAGUAACUGUGCACAUCUUGACGGUACCUAAUCAGAAAGCCACGGCUAACUACGUGCCAGCAGCCGCGGUAAUACGUAGGUGGCAAGCGUUAUCCGGAAUUAUUGGGCGUAAAGCGCGCGUAGGCGGUUUUUUAGUCUGAUGUGAAAGCCCACGGCUCAACCGUGGAGGGUCAUUGGAAACUGGAAAACUUGAGUGCAGAAGAGGAAAGUGGAAUUCCAUGUGUAGCGGUGAAAUGCGCAGAGAUAUGGAGGAACACCAGUGGCGAAGGCGACUUUCUGGUCUGUAACUGACGCUGAUGUGCGAAAGCGUGGGGAUCAAACAGGAUUAGAUACCCUGGUAGUCCACGCCGUAAACGAUGAGUGCUAAGUGUUAGGGGGUUUCCGCCCCUUAGUGCUGCAGCUAACGCAUUAAGCACUCCGCCUGGGGAGUACGACCGCAAGGUUGAAACUCAAAGGAAUUGACGGGGACCCGCACAAGCGGUGGAGCAUGUGGUUUAAUUCGAAGCAACGCGAAGAACCUUACCAAAUCUUGACAUCCUUUGACAACUCUAGAGAUAGAGCCUUCCCCUUCGGGGGGGCAAAGUGACAGGUGGUGCAUGGUUGUCGUCAGCUCGUGUCGUGAGAUGUUGGGUUAAGUCCCGCAACGAGCGCAACCCUUAAGCUUAGUUGCCAUCAUUAAGUUGGGCACUCUAAGUUGACUGCCGGUGACAAACCGGAGGAAGGUGGGGAUGACGUCAAAUCAUCAUGCCCCUUAUGAUUUGGGCUACACACGUGCUACAAUGGACAAUACAAAGGGCAGCGAAACCGCGAGGUCAAGCAAAUCCCAUAAAGUUGUUCUCAGUUCGGAUUGUAGUCUGCAACUCGACUACAUGAAGCUGGAAUCGCUAGUAAUCGUAGAUCAGCAUGCUACGGUGAAUACGUUCCCGGGUCU
rnacentral:rRNA from 1 species